AGUAACACGUGGAUAACCUACCUAUAAGACUGGGAUAACUUCGGGAAACCGGAGCUAAUACCGGAUAAUAUUUUGAACCGCAUGGUUCAAAAGUGAAAGACGGUCUUGCUGUCACUUAUAGAUGGAUCUGCGCUGCAUUAGCUAGUUGGUAAGGUAACGGCUUACCAAGGCAACGAUGCAUAGCCGACCCGAGAGGGUGAUCGGCCACACUGGAACUGAGACACGGUCCAG
rnacentral:rRNA from 1 species